UUUCUGACGGAGCACGCCGCGUGAGUGAAGAAGGUCUUCGGAUCGUAAAGCUCUGUUGUUAGAGAAGAACAGCGCAUAGAGUAACUGUUAUGCGUGUGACGGUAUCUAACCAGAAAGCCACGGCUAACUACGUGCCAGCAGCCGCGGUAAUACGUAGGUGGCGAGCGUUGUCCGGAUUUAUUGGGCGUAAAGGGAGUGUAGGCGGUCUUUUAAGUCUGAUGUGAAAGCCCACGGCUCAACCGUGGAGGGUCAUUGGAAACUGGGAGACUUGAGUGCAGAAGAGGAGAGCGGAAUUCCAUGUGUAGCGGUGAAAUGCGUAGAUAUAUGGAGGAACACCAGUGGCGAAGGCGGCUCUCUGGUCUGUAACUGACGCUGAGGCUCGAAAGCGUGGGGAGCAAACAGGAUUAGAUACCCCGGUAGUCCU
rnacentral:rRNA from 1 species